UCUGUAAACCCUAAACUACAAACGCCGCUUUCAUUCUUUUCAUCUAUCUUUGUGUUUUCUCCUCUCCAUUGAAGCCGCUUCGAUUCUUUGAGGUAUCCUGCAAUCCUCAACUCGAACCCUAAUUUGUGGUACAAUUGCUUUUAUUGUUAAUUGUAUGUUAUUAUGAAUUUGGGUUUUGUUGUUUUUUUGAACAAUGGGUUUUGAUAAGAAGAGAGCGACAGACAGAGGUGGUGUCGCAGACAUGGCGACGACCUUUCUGCUCAACUUGCUAGGGUUCCGACACUAUGUUCAUGAGUUCCUUCACUUUGAAGUCAGAAGUCAGAAGUAAUAAGGGAUUUUGUUUUGGUUUUGUGGAAUUCAUGUCAUUGGAUUCCAUGCAUAGUGCUAUAAAGCAACUGUUAGUUUGAAUCCAAUGAUUCGAACAAUGGUUCCACCUCCGUUUCAGCAGAUGGCACCUGCACCAUGGCUUCCACCAUCACCACCAGUGAUCCGGACAAUGGUUCCACCUCCACUUAGCAGAUGGCACCUGCACCAUGGUUUCCACCAUCACCACCAGUGACUAGCGUUUUUUGGAACACCACAAAUGUGCAAGGUUGCCUGAAGGAACUCCGAAACACUUGAUCUUGCAGAAGCAAUGGAGAAAGAGUUGGAGAGGCUUAUUGCAAUGAAAGGUACCGAGCAGCAUAUUGAAGGAACAUAUGAUAAAGCUAAUGAAACUGCAACUGGAAGGCUUUUGAAGUUUUUAGAGAAUAACAGGAUAUCAUUGGAUACUAAAGAGAAAAUCUCACUGGAAGCAGCUAACGGUUUGAUGGUGAAGCUAAAAAACAAUCUUGAACCAUUUAAGGUUAUAACCGAGGAUAAAACGCCAUGGGAGAAGUCUGGAGCAGUGUGACUGUCGAAUAAAAUGCAAAAGCACAAAAGAAACAAACUUUGGCGGAAAAGAAAGAGACAACACGCUGGGGAAAUGCUUGCAAAAGAACACGAGCGAUUUAACCAAGUUGAUCAAGAAGGUAAUGAAUGGAGGGCUAGGGAAAUUGCAAAGGAAACCGCUAAGCGUAAGGUCGAGAAAAUGAAGGAAAUUGCAAAACAAAAGGCUAACGAGGAGAUAAGGAGAUAAGAAUCUGAGCUUGAGCUACUGUUGAUCGUGGAGAAGUUGCAAGAACUACAGUCCAUCAGUCAGAAAUUAACAAAACAAGACCAGGUGUUCGAUGAAUUGCCUGAAUGGUGUUCAAUGAAAUGCUUUAACUGUUGAUGUAGACCAGUUCGAUGAAAUGCUUGAACUGUGUUCGGUGAAAUGCCUGAAAUUUUGAUGUAGACUAGGUGUACGAUGCAAAGUCUGAACUGUAAUGUCUGUACUUAAAGGCUUGGCAAAACAAACUCAUUAACAAAUUUUGGGUCAAGAUGGGUAUUUAACUUAAAAGUUUGGAUUCUUUUGGGCCAGCAAUAAAGUGUUGGUAGGUCAGGAUGGGCAUAAGUAAAUAAUGUAAAAAAGGCGGAUGGGUCAGGAUGGGCGACACAAAAUCAAACAACAGUUCAGGAUGGGCGCUCCCCUCAAAAUCACUUAGGACGUCUGGGUUCUCUCAAUUAGAUAAACGCUUUCAAAAUGAUGAUCCUUUUAUGCCCAUGGAUGUUCCUUUUGGAAGCAUAUUUCUCCAAGAUCAAUUUAGCGCACCAAGAGGACUCAUGAUGCCUCCUUUUAUUCCAACUAAGGCUUUGAAGCUGUUGGGCCUCCUGAAGCUUUAUAGUGUUCAGUCUGUGAACAUUGGGAUGUCGAUGAUGUAUUCAAGACCUGGAUAUGUUUGGUGUUUCAUGUUUUUAAAUAAAUGUGUUUUUUACAAAGAUUUUUUAUUACUUAAAGAGGGGUAAUGUUCUAGAUAUGUUAGUUUUGUAAAUAAAUGUUCUUGCUACAUAUAGUCGACUGGACAAAGCUGUAAUGAAUCAUAUGGGGUAUGUACAAUAAGGAGGUUUCACACAUCAAAAGUACAUUUUCGGA